CAGUAGCCACGGUAAUACGGAGGAUCCAAGCGUUAUCCGGAAUCAUUGGGUUUAAAGGGUCCGUAGGCGGUCUUGUAAGUCAGUGGUGAAAGCCCAUCGCUCAACGGUGGAACGGCCAUUGAUACUGCAGGACUUGAAUUAUUGGGAAGUAACUAGAAUAUGUAGUGUAGCGGUGAAAUGCUUAGAGAUUACAUGGAAUACCAAUUGCGAAGGCAGGUUACUACCAAUUGAUUGACGCUGAUGGACGAAAGCGUGGGUAGCGAACAGGAUUAGAUACCCGUGUAGUCCCUGUCUCUUAUAA
rnacentral:rRNA from 1 species